UCAACCCGCUCUUUUACAUUUAGUUUAUGAAAUUGCAAAUUUUAAUAUAUAGCAUAAGGAUGUGACCAAGAGGCCUGUAGAAGAAACCCCAGAGAUAACUCCAACUGUUGAUGAAGUUGUGCUCUCACCAGUCAAUCAAGACACUAUCACUCCACUACCUUCUGAAUCGGACACCAUGGAACCCAAAGAAAUGUUACUAUCAGAUGAAGAAAAAGAGAGGAACUCAGCAGAAGAAGAGAAGCUGGAGGAGUCGCCCAUCGACGAGGAAGCUGCCCACAAUUCCUCUGUUGUUCCAGCCAUCUCUAUUGUUGUCCGCCAAUUUGGUCGCUUUCUUCGUGAACUAUCUCACAGUACUCAAUCCGCUUCAAUUGCUGAGGGUUGGUGGUGAUGUUGAGGAAGUUCUUCCCCCUGUUCUUGAUUCUAGCUCUGACCCACCUCCUCUUUUUGAUGGAACCACAAGUGGGACAGCGAUUUUGAUGACAUAUUUCAAAGACUCAAGUCACAGAAAAAAUGGUCUGAAUUCUCCGAUAGCAGUCUUAAGACUGCUUUGAUUGUUGUACACCUCUUACAUUUGUCCAUAUGAUCACCACGUUUAUGUAUAGAACAGCGUGUUUGGAUAGCACGGAAUUACAAGGGUCUGCAAGAGAAGAUCAAAUUAGUUCCUAUUGAUCUUCAAAAUAGGCCAGAU